UACAGAGGGUGCAAGCGUUAAUCGGAAUUACUGGGCGUAAAGCGUGCGUAGACGGUUAUGUAAGUCAGAUGUGAAAGCCCCGGGCUCAACCUGGGAAUUGCAUUCGAGACUGCAUAGCUAGGGUGCGGAAGAGGGAAGCGGAAUUUCCGGUGUAGCGGUGAAAUGCGUAGAUAUCGGAAGGAACACCAGUGGCGAAAGCGGCUUCCUGGUCCAGCACCGACGUUCAGGCACGAAAGCGUGGGGAGCAAACAGG
rnacentral:rRNA from 1 species